rnacentral:lncRNA from 1 species
CUGUAGUAAAUAACAGCAUUCAGCAGUCCCACGACCCACUGAAAAACUGCUGAGAUUAGUGAAUCCAACAAGUUUGCACGCAGGAGACUCAACAUGACAACAACUGGAUGUGUUUCUGUACACUGACAAUGGAAACAUAGAACCUGAGAUUGGAAGCAUAAUACCGUUUUCACUGGAUAAAAGUUAAAAUUCAUUAGUAAAUUUAACAGAAUAAGUAGAAGAUUUAUAGUCCGAGAAGUUUCAAAAACUGAUGAAA